UUUUUAAAAAACAAACGUAAUGCACAGAAGGCCAAAAAGUAAAUAAAUAAAUAGUGACAUAUGACAAUCUGGAAACAUAUUUGUAAACAUAAUAUGCUAGACAUGGAGCUAAUUUCCUCAAUAUACAGAUGUACAAUAAAUUAACAAGAAACAGA